rnacentral:rRNA from 1 species
CUACGGGGUGCUGCAGUAGGGAAUCUUAGACAAUGGGGGAAACCCUGAUCUAGCCAUGCCGCGUGAGUGAUGAAGGCCUUAGGGUUGUAAAGCUCUUUCGCUGGGGAAGAUAAUGACGGUACCCAGUAAAGAAACCCCGGCUAACUCCGUGCCAGCAGCCGCGGUAAUACGGAGGGGGUUAGCGUUGUUCGGAAUUACUGGGCGUAAAGCGCGCGUAGGCGGGCUAUUAAGUCAGGGGUGAAAUCCCGGGGCGCAACCCCGGAACUGCCUUUGAUACUGGUAGUCUUGAGUUCGAGAGAGGUGAGUGGAAUUACGAGUGUAGAGGUGAAAUUCGUAGAUAUUCGGAGGAACAUCAGUGGCGAAGGCGACUCACUGGCUCGAUACUGACGCUGAGGUGCGAAAAUGUGGGGAGCAAACAGGAUUAGAUACCCUAGUAGUC